rnacentral:rRNA from 1 species
CUACGGGAGGCUCCAGUGGGGAAUAUUGCACAAUGAGCGAAAGCUUGAUGCAGCCAUACCGCGUGUGAAGAAGGCCCGAGGGUUGUAAAGCACUUUCAAUUGGGAGGAAGGUUAAGUAGUUAAUACCUGCUUAAUUUGACGUUACCUUUAGAAGAAGCACCGGCUAACUCUGUGCCAGCAGCCGCGGUAAUACAGAGGGUGCAAGCGUUAUUCGGAAUUACUGGGCGUAAAGCGCGCGUAGGCGGAUUAUUAAGUCAGUUGUGAAAGCCCUGGGCUCAACCUGGGAACUGCAUCUGAUACUGGUAGUCUAGAGUUUAAGAGAGGGAAGUGGAAUUCCAGGUGUAGCAGUGAAAUGCGUAGAUAUCUGGAGGAACAUCAGUGGCGAAGGCGACUUCCUGGCUUAAAACUGACGCUGAGGUGCGAAAGCGUGGGUAGCGAACGGGAUUAGAUACCCCCGUAGUC